UUACCAUGCAGUCGAACGAUGAACCACCUUCGGGUGGGGAUUAGUGGCGAACGGGUGAGUAACACGUGGGCAAUCUGCCCUUCACUCUGGGACAAGCCCUGGAAACGGGGUCUAAUACCGGAUACUGACCUGCCAAGGCAUCUUGGCGGGUCGAAAGCUCCGGCGGUGAAGGAUGAGCCCGCGGCCUAUCAGCUUGUUGGUGAGGUAAUGGCUCACCAAGGCGACGACGGGUAGCCGGCCUGAGAGGGCGACCGGCCACACUGGGACUGAGACACGGCCCAGACUCCUACGGGAGGCAGCAGUGGGGAAUAUUGCACAAUGGGCGAAAGCCUGAUGCAGCGACGCCGCGUGAGGGAUGACGGCCUUCGGGUUGUAAACCUCUUUCAGCAGGGAAGAAGCGAAAGUGACGGUACCUGCAGAAGAAGCGCCGGCUAACUACGUGCCAGCAGCCGCGGUAAUACGUAGGGCGCAAGCGUUGUCCGGAAUUAUUGGGCGUAAAGAGCUCGUAGGCGGCUUGUCACGUCGGUUGUGAAAGCCCGGGGCUUAACCCCGGGUCUGCAGUCGAUACGGGCAGGCUAGAGUUCGGUAGGGGAGAUCGGAAUUCCUGGUGUAGCGGUGAAAUGCGCAGAUAUCAGGAGGAACACCGGUGGCGAAGGCGGAUCUCUGGGCCGAUACUGACGCUGAGGAGCGAAA
rnacentral:rRNA from 1 species